rnacentral:rRNA from 1 species
GAUGAACGCUGGCGGCGUGCCUAAUACAUGCAAGUCGAACGGACAGGCCCUGCUCUUGCGCGGCGCACGUGUGCGGCACGCGUGAGUAUAACGCGUGUAACCCCUACCUGUCAGUGGGAUAUCACUAGGAAACACCGGCUCUUAUCGCAUAGAAUAUACUGCAGCACGGUGGGGGAUGGUAAAAUUCGGCGGUUGGGGAUGGUAUAGCGGCUUACGCGCCUGUUGGUGAGGUAGUGGCUUUCAAAGGCUGCGACGGGUACGCGGCCUGAGAGCGCGACCGGCCACCAUGGGACUGAGAGACGGCCCAGUCGCCUACGGGAGGCAGCAGUCGGGAAUAUUGCGCAAUAGGCGGAAGCCUGAGACAGCGACGCCGCGUGCGGGAUGACGUGCUUCGGGUGAUAAACCGCUGUCGCCUGUGACGAGGCGUGAGUGACGGUAAUGGGUAAAGAAGCACCGGCUAACUACGUG